rnacentral:rRNA from 1 species
UAGGGAAUCUUCGGCAAUGGACGAAAGUCUGACCGAGCAACGCCGCGUGAGUGAAGAAGGUUUUCGGAUCGUAAAACUCUGUUGUUAGAGAAGAACAAGGACGUUAGUAACUGAACGUCCCCUGACGGUAUCUAACCAGAAAGCCACGGCUAACUACGUGCCAGCAGCCGCGGUAAUACGUAGGUGGCAAGCGUUGUCCGGAUUUAUUGGGCGUAAAGCGAGCGCAGGCGGUUUCUUAAGUCUGAUGUGAAAGCCCCCGGCUCAACCGGGGAGGGUCAUUGGAAACUGGGGGGCUUGAGUGCAGAAGAGGGGAGUGGAAUUCCAUGUGUAGCGGUGAAAUGCGUAGAUAUAUGGAGGAACACCAGUGGCGAAGGCGGCUCUCUGGUCUGUAACUGACGCUGAGGCUCGAAAGCGUGGGGAGCAAACAGG